rnacentral:rRNA from 1 species
GAUGAACGCUGGCGGCGUGCUUAACACAUGCAAGUCGAACGAAGCACUUUAUUUGAUUUCCUUCGGGACUGAUUAUUUUGUGACUGAGUGGCGGACGGGUGAGUAACGCGUGGGUAACCUGCCUUGUACAGGGGGAUAACAGUUGGAAACGGCUGCUAAUACCGCAUAAGCGCACAGCAUCGCAUGAUGCAGUGUGAAAAACUCCGGUGGUAUAAGAUGGACCCGCGUUGGAUUAGCUAGUUGGUGAGGUAACGGCCCACCAAGGCGACGAUCCAUAGCCGACCUGAGAGGGUGACCGGCCACAUUGGGACUGAGACACGGCCCAAACUCCUACGGAAGGCAGCAGUGGGGAAUAUUGCACAAUGGGCGAAAGCCUGAUGCAGCGACGCCGCGUGAGCGAAGAAGUAUUUCGGUAUGUAAAGCUCUAUCAGCAGGGAAGAUAAUGACGGU